rnacentral:rRNA from 1 species
GACGAACGCUGGCGGCGUGCUUAACACAUGCAAGUCGAACGGAAAGGCCCUGCUUUUGUGGGGUGCUCGAGUGGCGAACGGGUGAUUAACACGUGAGUAACCUGCCCUUGACUUUGGGAUAACUUCAGGAAACUGGGGCUAAUACCGGAUAGGAGCUCCUGCUGCAUGGUGGGGUUUGGAAAGUUUCGGCGGUUGGGGAUGGACUCGCGGCUUAUCAGCUUGUUGGUGGGGUAGUGGCUUACCAAGGCUUUGACGGGUAGCCGGCCUGAGAGGGUGACCGGCCACAUUGGGACUGAGAUACGGCCCAGACUCCUACGGGAGGCAGCAGUGGGGAAUAUUGCACAAUGGGCGGAAGCCUGAUGCAGCAACGCCGCGUGCGGGAUGACGGCCUUCGGGUUGUAAACCGCUUUCGCCUGUGACGAAGCGUGAGUGACGGUAAUGGGUAAAGAAGCACCGGCUAACUACGUG